rnacentral:rRNA from 1 species
AUUGAACGCUGGCGGCAGGCCUAACACAUGCAAGUCGAGCGGAUGAAGGGAGCUUGCUCCUGGAUUCAGCGGCGGACGGGUGAGUAAUGCCUAGGAAUCUGCCUGGUUGUGGGGGAUAACGUCCGGAAACGGGCGCUAAUACCGCAUACGUCCAGCGCGAGAAAGUGGGGGAUCUUCGGACCUCACGCUAUCAGAUGAGCCUAGGUCGGAUUAGCUAGUUGUUGGGGUAAAGGCCUACCAAGGCGACGAUCCGUAACUGGUCUGAGAGGAUGAUCAGCCACACUGGAACUGAGACACGGUCCAGACUCCUACGGGAGGCAGCAGUGGGGAAUAUUGGACAAGGGGCGAAAGCCUGACCCAGACAUGCCGCGUGGGUGAAGAAGGUCUUCGGAUGGUAAAGCACUUUAAGUGGGGAGGAAGGGCAGUAAGUUAAUACCUUGCUGUUUUGACGGUACCAACAGAAUAAGCACCGGCUAACUUCGUG